rnacentral:rRNA from 1 species
UGAACGCUGGCGGCGUGCCUAAUACAUGCAAGUCGAGCGAACAGACGAGGAGCUUGCUCCUCUGACGUUAGCGGCGGACGGGUGAGUAACACGUGGAUAACCUACCUAUAAGACUGGGAUAACUUCGGGAAACCGGAGCUAAUACCGGAUAAUAUAUUGAACCGCAUGGUUCAAUAGUGAAAGACGGUUUUGCUGUCACUUAUAGAUGGAUCCGCGCCGCAUUAGCUAGUUGGUAAGGUAACGGCUUACCAAGGCAACGAUGCGUAGCCGACCUGAGAGGGUGAUCGGCCACACUGGAACUGAGACACGGUCCAGACUCCUACGGGAGGCAGCAGUAGGGAAUCUUCCGCAAUGGGCGAAAGCCUGACGGAGCAACGCCGCGUGAGUGAUGAAGGUCUUCGGAUCGUAAAACUCUGUUAUUAGGGAAGAACAAAUGUGUAAGUAACUAUGCACGUCUUGAGGGUACCUAAUCAGAAAGCCACGGCUAACUACGUG